UACGUAGGGGGCAAGCGUUGUCCGGAUUUAUUGGGCGUAAAGAGCGUGUAGGCGGUCAGGUAGGUCCGUUGUGAAAACUCGAGGCUCAACCCCGAGACGCCGAUGGAAACCAUCUGACUAGAGUCCGGAAGAGGAGAGUGGAAUUCCUGGUGUAGCGGUGAAAUGCGCAGAUAUCAGGAAGAACACCCGUGGCUAAGGCGGCUCUCUAGUACGGUACUGACGCUGAGACGCGAAAGCGUGGGGAGCGAACAG
rnacentral:rRNA from 1 species